rnacentral:rRNA from 1 species
GGGACACGUGGUAUCCUGUCUGAAUAUGGGGGGACCAUCCUCCAAGGCUAAAUACUCCUGACUGACCGAUAGUGAACCAGUACCGUGAGGGAAAGGCGAAAAGAACCCCGGCGAGGGGAGUGAAAAAGAACCUGAAACCGUGUACGUACAAGCAGUGGGAGCACCUUCGGGUGUGACUGCGUACCUUUUGUAUAAUGGGUCAGCGACUUAUAUUCUGUAGCAAGGUUAACCGUAUAGGGGAGCCGCAGGGAAACCGAGUCUUAACUGGGCGUUAAGUUGCAGGGUAUAGACCCGAAACCCGGUGAUCUAGCCAUGGGCAGGUUGAAGGUUGGGUAACACUAACUGGAGGACCGAACCGACUAAUGUUGAAAAAUUAGCGGAUGACUUGUGGCUGGGGGUGAAAGGCCAAUCAAACCGGGAGAUAGCUGGUUCUCCCCGAAAGCUAUUUAGGUAGCGCCUCGUGAACUCAUCUUCGGGGGUAG